GACUGUCUGUUCUAUGAGGACAAACUCCUGAAGUCCAACCGAAAUGAUACUGCAUGGUUUGAUGUCCAGAAGUAUCUUGGAGUUUCCAAGGUAAUGACUAGAUUUAUUAUUCUAGGUUUAAUACUAUCACACAAUCAAGUGCAUCAUUACUCCAGUCUUACUCUGAAAUGAUGAAUGAUGUUUCAUUAAUUCAUUUAUAUUCUUUCUUUCUUUCCUUAGAUCUCUCCCUGCUAUUCCAGUAGGUUGAGUUACUGUCAGUGGCUGAUUGUCUUUUUAGUCAUUUUGUUCCUGCUGCUGCUGCUGCUGUUGACGGUGAUCUUUGGCACAGUCUUCGAUGUCAAAAGGAACACUACAAACCACAACAAUACAGUGGAUGUUUUUGGAGGGACAAAGUAAAUGUUCUGUGAAAUGCACGUGUAAUCAUCUGCAACAACUAUAGUUGUGGAGGCUAAUGUAGAUGUUUUUUUGCUGAAGCUUUCGAUCACUACUUUAUAUGAAGCAAAAUACAGGGGAAAAUGAAGAUAGCCGUUUGUGAAGCUGGAAGCCAGUUCGUAGCAGAAAGCAGUAAUGGCAUGCUAAAUGUAGACUGAAAUAGUUUUUGAUUGCUGUACUUGCUCUUCCUGUUAAUACUGGGUUUUAAAUGUAACAAAAUCAUUUAAUAAGAAUGUAAAGCCAGGCUAACAACUAAAUUUACAACCUCAGUAGUUAUGCUUUUGAGAUACAAACUUUGUGGUAUGUACUGUUUAAAUGUGAAGUAGAGUCACGUGUGGUAUAAUAUUAUCAAGUGAUGAAUGAAGUAAAAACAUCACAGUGAAAUAAUGAUUGCUGCUGCUUUGUGCUCAUUCAGACAUUAGGAUUGUAUGUGUUUCCUUCAUAAAGAAUAAACUCAAAUGAAUCAAGUGA